GGUCUCAUGGUGUAAUCGGUUAGCACUCUGGACUCUGAAUCUAGCGGAACUGAGUUCAAAUCUCGGUGAGACCU